rnacentral:rRNA from 1 species
UACGUAGGGUGCAAGCGUUGUCCGGAAUUAUUGGGCGUAAAGAGCUCGUAGGCGGUCUGUUGCGUCGGCUGUGAAAACCCGGGGCUCAACUCCGGGCCUGCAGCCGAUACGGGCAGACUAGAGUUCGGCAGGGGAGACUGGAAUUCCUGGUGUAGCGGUGAAAUGCGCAGAUAUCAGGAGGAACACCGGUGGCGAAGGCGGGUCUCUGGGCCUUACCUGACACUGAGGAGCGAAAGCGUGGGGAGCGAACAGG